GUUAGUAUGUCCGAGUGGUUAAGGAGAUAGACUUGAAAUUUAUUGGGCUUUGCCUGCGCAGGUUCGAAUCUUGCUAUUUACG
rnacentral:tRNA from 1 species